rnacentral:rRNA from 1 species
UACGGAGGGUGCGAGCGUUGUCCGGAAUCACUGGGCGUAAAGGGCUCGUAGGCGGAUCCGCCAGUUUGACGUGAAAUCUCCACCGCUCACCGGGGAGGGGCCGUUGAAUACUACGGAUCUGGAGUUCGGCAGAGGACCAUGGAAUUUCGGGUGUAGCGGUGAAAUGCUUAGAUAUGACAUAGAACACCAAUUGCGAAGGCAGCUGACUACAGGGGCAUUGACACUGAGGCACGAAAGCGUGGGGAUCAAACAGG